rnacentral:rRNA from 1 species
GGGUUGUGAGGUUAAGCGACUAAGCGUACACGGUGGAUGCCCUGGCAGUCAGAGGCGAUGAAGGACGUGCUAAUCUGCGAAAAGCGUCGGUAAGGUGAUAUGAACCGUUAUAACCGGCGAUGUCCGAAUGGGGAAACCCAGUGCAAUUCGUUGCACUAUCGUUAACUGAAUACAUAGGUUAACGAGGCGAACCGGGGGAACUGAAACAUCUAAGUACCCCGAGGAAAAGAAAUCAACCGAGAUUCCCCCAGUAGCGGCGAGCGAACGGGGAGCAGCCCAGAGUCUGAAUCAGCUUGUGUGUUAGUGGAACGGUCUGGAAAGUCCGACGGUACAGGGUGAUAGUCCCGUACACCAAAAUGCACAGGCUGUGAACUCGAAGAGUAGGGCGGGACACGUGGUAUCCUGUCUGAAUAUGGGGGGACCAUCCUCCAAGGCUAAAUACUCCUGACUGACCGAUAGUGAACCAGUACCGUGAGGGAAAGGCGAAAAGAACCCCGGCGAGGGGAGUGAAAAAGAACCUGAAACCGUGUACGUACAAGCAGUGGGAGCACCUUCGGGUGUGACUGCGUACCUUUUGUAUAAUGGGUCAGCGACUUAUAUUCUGUAGCAAGGUUAACCGUAUAGGGGAGCCGCAGGGAAACCGAGUCUUAACUGGGCGUUAAGUUGCAGGGUAUAGACCCGAAACCCGGUGAUCUAGCCAUGGGCAGGUUGAAGGUUGGGUAACACUAACUGGAGGACCGAACCGACUAAUGUUGAAAAAUUAGCGGAUGACUUGUGGCUGGGGGUGAAAGGCCAAUCAAACCGGGAGAUAGCUGGUUCUCCCCGAAAGCUAUUUAGGUAGCGCCUCGUGAACUCAUCUUCGGGGGUAGAGCACUGUUUCGGCUAGGGGGUCAUCCCGACUUACCAACCCGAUGCAAACUACGAAUACCGAAGAAUGUUAUCACGGGAGACACACGGCGGGUGCUAACGUCCGUCGUGAAGAGGGAAACAACCCAGACCGCCAGCUAAGGUCCCAAAGUCAUGGUUAAGUGGGAAACGAUGUGGGAAGGCACAGACAGCCAGGAUGUUGGCUUAGAAGCAGCCAUCAUUUAAAGAAAGCGUAAUAGCUCACUGGUCGAGUCGGCCUGCGCGGAAGAUGUAACGGGGCUAAACCAUGCACCGAAGCUGCGGCAGCGACACUAUGUGUUGUUGGGUAGGGGAGCGUUCUGUAAGCCUGCGAAGGUGACCUGUGAGGGUUGCUGGAGGUAUCAGAAGUGCGAAUGCUGACAUAAGUAACGAUAAAGCGGGUGAAAAGCCCGCUCGCCGGAAGACCAAGGGUUCCUGUCCAACGUUAAUCGGGGCAGGGUGAGUCGACCCCUAAGGCGAGGCCGAAAGGCGUAGUCGAUGGGAAACAGGUUAAUAUUCCUGUACUUGGUGUUACUGCGAAGGGGGGACGGAGAAGGCUAUGUUAGCCGGGCGACGGUUGUCCCGGUUUAAGCAUGUAGGCUGGUUAUCCAGGCAAAUCCGGAUAAUCAAGGCUGAGGUGUGAUGACGAGGUACUACGGUGCUGAAGUAACAAAUGCCCUGCUUCCAGGAAAAGCCUCUAAGCAUCAGGUAACAUCAAAUCGUACCCCAAACCGACACAGGUGGUCAGGUAGAGAAUACCAAGGCGCUUGAGAGAACUCGGGUGAAGGAACUAGGCAAAAUGGUGCCGUAACUUCGGGAGAAGGCACGCUGGUGUGUAGGUGAAGUCCCUGCGGAUGGAGCUGAGACCAGUCGAAGAUACCAGCUGGCUGCAACUGUUUAUUAAAAACACAGCACUGUGCAAACACGAAAGUGGACGUAUACGGUGUGACGCCUGCCCGGUGCCGGAAGGUUAAUUGAUGGGGUUAUCCGUAAGGAGAAGCUCUUGAUCGAAGCCCCGGUAAACGGCGGCCGUAACUAUAACGGUCCUAAGGUAGCGAAAUUCCUUGUCGGGUAAGUUCCGACCUGCACGAAUGGCGUAAUGAUGGCCAGGCUGUCUCCACCCGAGACUCAGUGAAAUUGAACUCGCUGUGAAGAUGCAGUGUACCCGCGGCAAGACGGAAAGACCCCGUGAACCUUUACUAUAGCUUGACACUGAACAUUGAGCCUUGAUGUGUAGGAUAGGUGGGAGGCUUUGAAGCGUGGACGCCAGUCUGCGUGGAGCCAACCUUGAAAUACCACCCUUUAAUGUUUGAUGUUCUAACGUUGGCCCCUGACCGGGGUUGCGGACAGUGUCUGGUGGGUAGUUUGACUGGGGCGGUCUCCUCCCAAAGCGUAACGGAGGAGCACGAAGGUUAGCUAAUCCUGGUCGGACAUCAGGAGGUUAGUGCAAUGGCAUAAGCUAGCUUGACUGCGAGCGUGACGGCGCGAGCAGGUGCGAAAGCAGGUCAUAGUGAUCCGGUGGUUCUGAAUGGAAGGGCCAUCGCUCAACGGAUAAAAGGUACUCCGGGGAUAACAGGCUGAUACCGCCCAAGAGUUCAUAUCGACGGCGGUGUUUGGCACCUCGAUGUCGGCUCAUCACAUCCUGGGGCUGAAGUAGGUCCCAAGGGUAUGGCUGUUCGCCAUUUAAAGUGGUACGCGAGCUGGGUUUAGAACGUCGUGAGACAGUUCGGUCCCUAUCUGCCGUGGGCGCUGGAGAAUUGAGGGGGGCUGCUCCUAGUACGAGAGGACCGGAGUGGACGCAUCACUGGUGUUCGGGUUGUCAUGCCAAUGGCACUGCCCGGUAGCUAAAUGCGGAAGAGAUAAGUGCUGAAAGCAUCUAAGCACGAAACUUGCCCCGAGAUGAGUUCUCCCUGAGACUUUAAGUCUCCUGAAGGAACGUUGAAGACGACGACGUUGAUAGGCCGGGUGUGUAAGCGCAGCGAUGCGUUGAGCUAACCGGUACUAAUGAACCGUGAGGCUUAACCUUACAACGCCGAAG